rnacentral:rRNA from 1 species
GACAGAGGGUGCAAACGUUGCUCGGAAUUACUGGGCGUAAAGCGCGUGUAGGCGGGCGACUAAGUCAGAUGUGAAAUCCCUGGGCUCAACCCAGGAACUGCAUUUGAAACUGAUCGUCUAGAGUGAUGGAGAGGAGAGCGGAAUUCCUGGUGUAGAGGUGAAAUUCGUAGAUAUCAGGAGGAACACCGGUGGCGAAGGCGGCUCUCUGGACAUCUACUGACGCUGAGACGCGAAAGCGUGGGGAGCAAACAGG